GCGUUGGUAGUGCAAUGGUUCGAACACGCACCUCUGAUGGGGUGAAAUGUGGGUUCGAGUCCAAACUGACGCA